ACCGCGGGUAAUCCCCAGCGACGUGGCGUGCCGGCAUCGGCGUGCCACCAAAGCCCUGGCGCCGUGGGACGGGCCGUCGUGGUAUUAGCUGGUUGGCGGGGUAACGGCCCACCAAGGCGGCGAUGCCUACCGGGCGUGCGAGCGUGGCCCGGCACACUGGGACUGAGACACUGCCCAGACUCCUACGGGAGGCUGCAGUCGAGAAUCUUCGGCAAUGGGCGCAAGCCUGACCGAGCGACGCCGCGUGGAGGACGAAGGCCUUCGGGUUGUAAACUCCUGUCGAGGGGGAAGAAGGCCGGGAGACCGGCUUGACUGAUCCCUGGAGGAAGCACGGGCUAAGUUCGUGCCAGCAGCCGCGGUAAGACGAACCGUGCAAACGUUAUUCGGAAUCACUGGGCUUAAAGCGCGUGUAGGCGGGCCGGCACGUCGGUCGCUGAAAUCCCCCGGCUCAACCGGGGAAGCGGCGCCGAUACGACCG
rnacentral:rRNA from 1 species